CUGGAAGCCCCUUAAGGUCUUACCCUAGGACAGCCAUGAAGAUCCUCCUCAUUAUUAAAAUCCCUCCCUUGAAGUAAUUUUGAGGAUUAAUAGAACCAGCUCUUCACGAGCAUCUGUGGAGCACAUGAAAGACUCCAAGUAAUCAGGGGAUGGAAAAUGGAUGUCAGAAGAGAAGGCAAAACAGAGUUGCCAUGAGUACAAAAAAGAGCAUAGUUCUCAGUCUUUCCAGGACCCCUUCACUACAGAAAGAGCUUGGAACACCAGAAAGCGCCUUGUGCUCCAUCACCCAAAAACAGAAGCAUUCUGCGUGUACAGGGACACCACCCUCUCCCCAUGCACAUAUCCCCUCAAAACCCCAUGAAACCCCAAAUCCAAACACCUUAGGCUUCUGGAGUUCCUGGUAUUUCCUCUUUGACUUCACCUCUGGGAAAAAAAAAAAAAAAGAGGCUGAAGUUCUCUAGAAGGAGAUGCUUCUACACUUCCUCCCCCAGAAGCUUCACCUGGAUGUUGCUGGAAGUGAAUGAAAUAAUUCUUAUUGACUUAUAUAUUACGAAGCAUGUUGUAGAGCUCCACUCCCUGAGCUAUUCUAUCCUCUUUGCAAAUGUAAAUUAAAUAUGGUACUUCAAAUCCUGAUUUUUCAAACUUUCACUUCAUUGUUUGAAAAUGGCUGGCUCAUAUCUGGAUCAUAUCCUCCUUCAUGGGAAGAAUGAAACGUCUGCCCACAAUGGGAUGAAGUUGAAGUGUGAAUGGACAAGAAUACAGUGUGUGUAAGAGGUGUGGCUUGAGCGGCUGCUGAUCCCUUCAAAAAUGUUUUAAAAACAUAUCAGAUAAGUAGACGUACAGACUGGGACUCAAAGGUGACGCUGGCAGCUCUUUUGCUGCAGAUGAAAAUUGCUACAGAGGAAGCAAGAGCGAAGCAGUAUGACUUGGUGCUGCCAGGCAGCGGUGCCUUUCAUGGUGAUCCCAGGCUCUGUCACCGUGCCAUCUCCUUGAGACUUUCUGAGCUGUAAAUUGAUUUAAAAACAAUUGUAAUGACCUGCUUGCAUCAACUCAAUCAAACUUCAUUACGAAGGAUAAAAUGACACAUAAAAGAAUGGAAGAUACAUAAAUUCUGCAGAGGCCUGCAAACAUCUUGUG
ensembl:lncRNA